UCUUUUUCUUUUCUGAACUAAUUUAUUUCCAAAAGUUCUUCUUUUUGAGGAAGAUGCCAAGUACUCCUUUAAUUGAAAUAUUUACUUUGAAAGAAAAAUCUUUAGAUCCAGCUUGUUUUCCACAGCAAAUGGUGGGACUUUCAGAUCCUUUCCUUUUUGCCCCUCUUCUCUUUUAUGAGCUUGGCCAAGUUUUAUCUCCCACAACAUAACUGUUUUCUCACAUCAUGACAGAAGACUGCGGUGUAUCACAGGAAAGAGAAUCUGAGCAAGUCUGGUUGAUUGAGGCAAAUGUGAGUAUAAGGCACUUACAUAGCAAUUUCUGCACAGUAGAAUGUUAGCAUUUCUGACUUUAAAAAAAUAAAAUAAAAUAAUAAAAAUAUUUAAAAAAAAAACACAAACACACAGUAUUCUGCUGAAAAUAAAUUACCCUUUAUUGAGAGAAGAUUAAACUUUCCUGCAGAAGAUACUAAGAAAACAAUGCUGCUUUCAUUUUUGUUCUGAAACUGAACUGAAAGCAGUUCUGAAGAAUUUCUGAAGAGGCAACUUCUGAAGAAACUCAUAUUAGGACAAAGAAGAGGGAUUAUUCCUGGGUAAGGCCAUCAGGGCUUAAAACAAAUUAUUUUCAAAAUUAACUUCAAGCAGCAGCUUUGUGUCACAACGUCACCCUUGUAGAAGCACCUUACGAUGAAGAGAUGCUCUUCUAAGCUUUGAACGGUGCAAGUUCAUUGUCAAGAGCAUCAGGUUGAUGAAGGGAAGCUUAACUCUAUGUGAGAGUAGCAAUUCCUCCUAAAAUAAUGCAUCCUGUUCUUUGGGACCAUAAGUGCUCGUGUCUGAGACUGCAGCCCGUAGUACAGGGCUGUUAAAUAUAGCUGUGCAUUAGCCUGCUGGAUGCAGAGAACAGGGCACGCUAUGAAUAAAUCGAUAUCUGCGUGGGCUGCACCAUGGGAGCUGUUACGGUUAUGGAUGCUUUGCGUUUAGUUAAAUGCUGGCAGCCUGCUCGGUGCUGGCCAGGAUGCUCUAACGGAGACAGUGCUGUCUCCCAGGACUUGCACUCUACGUGUCGAGCCUCAGAAAGGCAGGAUGUGACUGAGAAACCCAGAGGAGGGAUUUGUUCGGAAUUGUUCUAAUUAUUUAAGGCUUAACUCGGCACUUGCUCACGUGCAUUGCUCACCAGCAGGACUCAUUUCAGUGCAGAGCUCCAAGGAGGUUUAACUCAGCUCAUACUGCCCUGAAACAUAUAACUAGGGGUAGAUAAUGCCACCACCUCUUACCUGCAGCUGCCCAGAGGUUUCUGUGGGAUCCUUAGCCCUGUAAUUGGCGAAUGUGCACAGCAGUGACCUUGGUACAGAUGAGAGCUCACAGUCCACCUGGGGAAAAAAAGCAGAAAUCAGAAAUAAUGGCAGUGCAUUAUAAGGGUGCUUAAAAGCUAAAAGUUGUAUCUAAUCAUCAAUCACUGCUUUGCUUGGUUGGGAGAAACUCUAGAACAAAGCACUGAGAAAAAUAAGCUAAUUCCCUGCUUGUGUCUCAGGAUAGAGCUGGGAAAUAUAUCCCAGGUUUUCUGCCAGGGAACAGGUUUUACAGCAAAAGAAUGAAUUUAGUAGAAUAGCUGAUAUUUAUCCCAAGCAAUGUUAAACUCAGCUCUUUCUUCUAAAAGUUCAGGAUGCCUUAUCUGACCCCAAACGUGCACUCUGUGGGGACACAGGAGACAAUGCCAUCCUUUACUGGUUACAUCUUACUCUGCUCUAAGGUUUCUCCUGUUGCGUGAUGCACUAAUCUUUGCACAUCUUUCUAACUGUAUCUAUUGUGCCAGCACAAAGCAUUUGAUUUAAUCACCCCGUGAAACACUGGUGUGUGUAACAGACGUUCCUCAUCCCUUCAGCCACACAGGUGUGAUGGGAACAGCAGGCAGAGCCCUUCCGGCUGACCCAGAGCACCCACUGCCUCCUUCCCCCCCUUAGAGAUUGCUGGGAUAAGUGAAAAGAAAUACAGAAUGCCAGGACCAACACGACCCCACACCUCAUUCCCAUGGUGUACAAUGCACCUAACAACUGGUUCUUUCAGAGUGCUGCCAUUAAAAUAAAACAUAAAAAAAAAAAAAACACAUCACGUUCUCUGGCACUGAGCACAGUGUUUUCCAGGUAUCGCUGAUAGCCGGGUGACAUCUCAGCUCUCGGUGCUUCUGAGUGAGAAAACACUGGGCUCUUUUUUCAUGUAAUUGGAGCUGCUGAAAGUUUGUUUUGUUGUUGUUAUCACUUUCUGCUAAGUGCCAAGUGAAAGGACAUCGGGAGCCAAACAGAGAGGCUGCUGGGGAGAAGUGCGGGCACCCUGUGCCUCCCUCCUCUUCUGCUCUGAACCAAGAUGAGCUGGGGGCAAGGGGAGCUGUUGGGGAUCACUGACCCCCCCAGGAGCACAUUCAUCUCCCAGGGUCAUCCUGGCACUGUGCCUCCUUCCACACCCACUUUUUGGGACCGCCAGGCCCAUGGGCCAUGCUCCUCUCCCCUCCAAAGGGUGAGCAGGAGGUUCAGAAACCUUAGGGAUAAAUUCACGACCUGUCCUCCCAGCCCUCCCUCUUCUACAUCCACAGCUGCCUUGCUGUGGGAUUUGGGAUAAAUGGGUGGGAAUGGGUACAGCACUGGUAAAGGGGACCACCUUCUGCAGGUUGCCACCAUCCUGCCCAGGGUGGUAGGACAGCCCUACCCCACGCACCCUCUCUGAAGGCCACCGUGCCUCUGGGUGAGUAUUUUUUAGUAUUUAUUCUCAGCACUGUACAGCCAGCCAACAAUCUGCAGAACGGGAGCAAGUGUAAAAAAUUGGGCUCCUUUCCAAUACGUCUAAUUCAGGUGACAGGCUGGAUUAUCCCUGAAGGUUUUGGAGAAGUACUUUCUUCCUUUCUUUGACUAUAUAGGGAGAACUAAUUUUGGUUCCCAAGUGUGUCAGGCUGGAUCUGGGCCUUGGAUUCCUGUUCAGCUGAGCACUCUGGCACGUGCCUGUUUUUGAGUGGGUGCUCGAGACCCUGCAAAGUUCGUGGCACUUCACAUGAAUCCGAAGUUGCAGAGCAAAGGCACGAGGCAAAUGCAUCUUUUGGGCAAAGCACUGACUUUGGGAACCCUCACCAAGGCUCUCCCCAGCCCUUCAAGUCUCAGCAGUCUCUGAGAGAGCCCAACCUCUUGAAUCAAGAGAGGAGGUGAAUUAAACUCUCAUCAGAUUGGAGCUGGCAUUAUAAUGCAAGAAUAUGCAGUUGCAACCCAGCAAGAGCAAUGCAGGUGAAACAUUUCCAAUUCCCUUCUGCUAAGGGCUCUGUAGGGUUUGGGGAUGUUACAGCAGUUCAAAACACCCGUUACUAGUGAGUUUCCAUGUAUCUGCGUGUAUGAGUGUGCGUGUGUGUGUGCUGUGAGCAUAGAGUCUACUCUGAAGUAUUUCAGAUAAUUACAGAAAGCAUGAAGCUUUGCAGGCCUUGCUGAAUUAAAGCUUCUAAUUUAUUUAUUUCCCUAAAGCAUAGCUGUGGGUUUAGUAAUUUAUACUUUUACGUUAAGAUGCUCAUGAACUAUCUGGGCUGUUUUUUAUGACUAAAGCCAUUUACAUACGUUUCUCCACUUUAAAUCUUGCUCUCCCUAACAAAUGACACUCCCAAGCAGGCCUGGGCUACCAGAUUAAGCAGUUAAAAAACGUGGUCUUUCACAGUGCCUUGAAUAGAAAAUCCCACUUGAUUUAAACACUUAGAGUUGCCUAGUCAUAACUGUUAGCAUAAGAGUAGUUACUUUAGACUAACUCUCCCUUUAAAAAAAGAUGCCCUUAUUAAGGCAUUUGGAAGUCAGUAUCGUCUUUUCUGUCCUCUCCCAGGUUUUGCACAGCUGAAUCCUGACCUACAUUACGUCAUCUAGCCCUGAAUUUGAUGUAAGCCAGGGUGAAAUCUGGCUUAUCGCCUGUCUUAUAAACAAGGAAGGCCUGAGAGCAUUUUUCCCUUUCCAACCUGGGCUGAUGUCACUGUAUUGCGGAUGUAUUACUCAUAUCAAAGACUUUCGCAAAGAAACUUGAAGUCCGGGAAAACUACAAGGCAAAGUCUGGUGGCCACUGAAGCCCUCCAGCUGGGCAGUGCCAGCAAAGUACACCAGUAGAAGGGACGCUAUCACUAUUGCUAUCACCACUAUCACUAUCACCACAACAAUGCAAACAAAAUCAAGUGGAAAAUUGUCCUUCCACUUGGAAUCUUGUAUUUUUUUUUUUAAUCAUGUCAACACAAUCUAUUGCAGCAGAGCAGCUUUAUAUAUUCCAGCCCAAAUGGGAUUCAUAUACAAUAAGUUUUUAUUAACAGAUACUGGAUUUUAGUUGCCUCUGGAAUAAUGAUGAGAUAUCUAAGUCUUCAGUGGAAAAAUGGCUCGGGUAACUUGGCAAAAUUUUCUUCACUCCUCUUCUGAGAUGUGAGAGGGUGAAUAGACCAUAGAGGAGACAGCAUGGUUCUGCAAACCCUGAGGACAUAUUCCUGAAGCUCCCCAGACUCAAAAGCCUGAUGGACAAUGAGUUUUCAGAGGUUUCUGAGUAAGCAUUUUCACAGUUAUUGCUCAGAAGUUUGUCUCAGGCUGACAAAACCAGAGUCAAGAGUAUUUAGCAGGGUGUGCAGCACAGGCUGGCUAAUUCUCUUCUCCCAGUGUUCAGAGACUAGCAACUGAUGGCAAAUGCUUUGGCCAUCAAUAAGAGAACACCAUGGUAAUGACCAUGUAGAGAAAUGAGCUCACCUAGAGUUUUCUCCUCUACGUAUAGCUGGAGACAUGCAGGGAAAGAGAGGGAAACUCAACACUGACAAUCUUCUGAUAUUCUCCAGGUAGCCUACACGGGGCUCUUGAAGAAGGAUAUGUAGUAAUACCAAAAUAGAAAAUACCAAGUUGCACUUCUAGCUAUUUUUCCAAGGAAGGUUGUUCCAAUGAUCUCGGUUCUACCUCAGUUCUUGCAGACUGUGAUGGUAGGGGUUGGCAGAGGCAAAGGGACCCCAUCCAAGAAGCAAAAUGAAGGCUGCUGCCAGCCCUGUGCCUCCUCUCCAGAACUGUGAAUGUUGAUGUUGAGGCAGAAACAGGACUUUAUUGGGACUGCCAGUGGUUCAAAGAUGAAAAGGCCUCGAGAGGCUUUUUGUUAUCAAAUUCCACUUAUCCUCCCUGUUGUAACUUUCAUCACAGCUGAAGGGAUGCUGCCAAAAUCUGACUUCACUUCGGAAAGUGCCAGGAUACGCCACUGGAGUUGCAACAGAAGAAAGACAGUGGGAAGGAGACAGAAUUCAAUUCAGGUUAUGGCCUGCGAGAGGGGGAAAAGGCUGAGGGAGAAAGAAAAUGGUUUUGUGUUGCUUCCCAAAUCUUCCCCGAAGUUGCUAGGCAGGUGGGGGAGAUGAGGCCAGCCCCACUUGCCUGCUCUGCUCUUUCCAACAAUCACUUUUCAGACCGUUUUUUCCUGCCACAUGGGGAAACGGGAAAGGUUCCCACCAAAGCACUGCAAAGCCUGCCCCGUGAUUCCUGCCAGCUCUCUCCUCUUCUAUACAGCCGGCAAGAAACUGCAGCCAAACUGCAGCUGAGCAGGUAGCGUGCCGCUCUCUUCUUCCUGAGCAUCUCCCAACUGCACAACUGUUAUUUUUCUUUGACCCACUUUCAGCCCUGUGAUUAUGUGUUGCUGUCUGGAGAACAAGGUUUUAGGGCAAAGGACCACUCUUUGACAUAUGUUUGCUGAGUUUGUAGAGCAAUGAGAAUCCCCAGAUCUAUAUUUGUCUGUAACUACAUUAAUGAUGCUAAUAAUAUCUGCAUGACGAGUUGUAUCAGCCAACAUAAUCAGGAGGGACAAGAAAGCUUUGUUGCCUCCAUUCUUAGACCCUUUAGAAGUUCUUGCUUUCCAAGUGGAGAUGCUCACCUUUAUCUCAAAGUCCAACUCUUCUUGUUCUGCACUUCAGUUUUGCCCAAAAUGGAAUAUCUCAUCUUAAUAAUCAUUUUGGAAAAUUGUGCCUUAUUGUGUUUGUUCCUCACUUUUCCCUGAUUGUGCAAUGGAAGUAAGACUGCUUACUCCACCGUGAUUUCUCAAAGUACAUUCAGCGACUCCAGCACAAGCCAUUUGUGAACAAAACGUAAUUAAUAUUGUGAAAUGAUGAGCAAUCAACAUGUGCCAGCUGUUACCACAUGAACUUCUGUCCUUGGGCCCCUUUAUACUUAUAGGCCUCUCAUGUUAAAGGCAAGGUGAAUUCAGAGAGCAAUAAUGAUUGAAUUACACAUGGGUGAAAACUCAUAUUUGAGAACAGAGAGACAUUUUAGAUUAGUCCCGCAGAAGAUGCUGGUAACCAGAAGUAACAACGUCCACAUAUGGAGUUACUCAGGGACAGUUAUCUCUGGAACAACUAUUCCUUCAGGCCUCUUCUGGAGUAACUUCUUGUCUACAGUGGGAGAAGGCCCUGAAUAAUGUAAGGCACCACAGUGUGGAGCAUCCUGGAAACAGCUAUCUUGCAGGCAUCGAGCCAGUAGUGUACACUGCACUGCUUCACUUCACUGAAAAUAAAGCUAUUCUUCUUUUCUACUGAAAAAUUAUAAGCAAUUUUGGUAAAAGAUUUUCUGCUUCUAUUUUGGAUUUAUUAAUAGAGAUAGAACCAGUGUGCAUCUCAGCUGGUGUCCUCCUUCAGAGGUGACCAGCAGCAGAUGCCAACAGAAGCCUCAAUCAGAUGAGCACGAUGCUUCCUACAAUAUGUGCCCAAAUGUCAGGGCCUAGCUCAGGGAAUUCGUUGGGGAUGGAUUUGCAUCUUUGUGUUUACUUGCUCUUGAAGCUC